rnacentral:rRNA from 1 species
AAAAAGCGUCAAAGCUUAACUAUGUCCACUCCAAUCCCCCUAACAUCACUCGACCCCUUUAACCGCACUGAGAACUUCUAUAAAAUUAUAGAACCUUUUAUGCUAAAACUAGUAACAAGAGGCAAUCCCUCUCUACAAUGUAAAUUAAAGCCAGUAAGAACCCACCACUGGCAACUAACAGACCUAAAUAAAAGUAACAACCACCCCAGAGAACCCUACUUCACCCAGCUGUUAACCUAAUACCAGAACAUUUCAAGAAAGAUUAAAAGGACGAGAAGGAAUUCGGCAAAAAUUAGCCCCGCCUGUUUACCAAAAACAUCGCCUCUUGCCCCCUAUAAGAGGUCCAGCCUGCCCAGUGACUUCUGUUCAACGGCCGCGGUAUCCUAACCGUGCAAAGGUAGCGUAAUCACUUGUCUUCUAAAUAGAGACCAGUAUGAAAGGCAUCACGAGGGCUAAACUGUCUCCUCCACCUAAUCAGUGAACCUAAUAACCCCGUGAAGAAGCGGGGAUUUUUAUAUAAGACGAGAAGACCCUAUGGAGCUUAAAACAUCAUGACACCUGCCACCCACCCUAUUUACCCAGGUCUACCUCCUUCUGUGGCACCCUGAUUAUAUGUUUUUGGUUGGGGUGACCGCGGAGAAAAACCCAUCCUCCACAAUGAAGGGGAGUUUCCCUAAACAGUAAGCCACAACUUUAUGUAUCAGCAAACUGACAUCAUUGACCCAAUAUAUUUGAUUAACGAACCAAGUUACCCUAGGGAUAACAGCGCAAUCCACUUUGAGAGCCCCUAUCGACAAGUGGGCUUACGACCUCGAUGUUGGAUCGGGGUAUCCUAGUGGUGCAGCCGCUACUAAAGGUUCGUUUGUUCAACGAUUAA